rnacentral:rRNA from 1 species
GGCCACCGGCUUGCGGUUGCCUCUCGGUUAUACCCUUGUCCGGUGGUCCUCCUCGCGGGGACGCCGUGGGCCUUUGCUGGUUUGCGGAUGUGAACCGUGACGUUUACUUUGAAAAAAUUAGAGUGUUUAAAGCAGGCACACGCUUGAAUACAUUAGCAUGGAAUAAUGAAAUAGGACGUUUGACCCUAUUUUGUUGGUUUCUAGGAUCGACGUA